CUAUCCCAGGGCAAUUUUCCACCUUUGAAGUCCCCGGAAAGCCCUGCCAAGAGCUGUUCUGGUUUGAGGAGGCUGCUGGGGCAGGCAGCCGGUGCCGUUGCCUCAGAGGGUGCCAGAACUGGAACAUCAAGACAUCAAAAGCGAAGGUGGCAGUGGAGCGAUGAGUAAGCUCAGCUGCAGACUUUGCCCUGGCUCAGAGGCCUUCUCCCGGCCUCCCAGCCGGCGGUGGAGCCGGAGCAGGGAGCUCAGCUCAGACAGCCUGGAGACCUGCCUGGGAGGAAGCCUGUGGAUGCUUCCAGGGCAUUGCCCUGUGUCCCCGCACCUUGCGAAGGGUGCUGAUCACUCGGAGAGCCCCCAGGCUUUGAAGCAUCGGUGGGAAAGAUGCUCCAUGGCGGUUUGCAGCUGUGAGACCUCGAAUCCAACGCACUCGCUGGGGCCUCGAGGAAGGGAAGCAUUUAUGGGCUGCCCCCAUCUUCCAGGGAGUGUGGUAAGCCCUUUCCAUCCAUCAUUGCAUUUCAUCCGCACAACACCACCAAGAGUUGGGUACUAUUAUUACCACCAUUUAACAGGUGGGAAAACUGAAGCGCAAGGAGAUGGAGAAAUGUGUGUUCAAUCACGCAGCUCGGGGCGGAGCUGGAAUUCACACCUGGGACUGACUCCAAAGUUAUUGCGUCUGCACCAUGUGGACCACAAAAGCUGUUGCCCCUUAAAAAAGCCUCUUGAUUCCAAUAAGGUAAACAAACAACAAAUAGACAAACAAAGGUAGAGUCUUCGAAAGCUGAGCCAGCAGCCAAUCUACUGAGCAUAUCAUCAUUUGGGGGGACAGCGAGGAGAGGAGCAGAGAACACCUUUCACAGCUCGUUCACAGCAACAGCCACGCAGGAUGACUCUGACAGUCGUGGAGUAACCAAGGCCUGGAAUGGAUUCAGUUUUGUUAUUCUCAAAACUGUGUUUCUUUGCGUGAGUUGCUUCACCCAAAUCUCUGAGCCUCAGUUUCCCUAUCUGGAAAUCUUGUCAGAUAGUCUUUAAGACGAUUCUAGUUCAAACAUUCUGUGAGUCCUGUGCCUGGUAGACACUAAGUGGAAAGAAGGGAGGGAGGCAAGGAGGAAGAAAUCAAUCCAUCUCUGCAGAUCUGCCUUUCAUAGAGGCAAGGCUGAGUGUAUUUUCCAUCAUUUGCAUUUCUACCUCCAAGGACACUGCCUCUCUCUAAUGAGUAUAUGCUCUGAAUUAAAUUGUUGAUCAUUUUAAUAAGCCCUGCCUCACCCUCCCACUGAAAUGCCACUUUUUAGCCUGUGUUGUCACCAAAGAAAAUAAGUCAAUUAGAGGACCUUAACAAGACUGCUUCUGAAAAGAACAUGGAAACUGUCAGUUGCAGUCAGUUAGACCUGUAGGCUGCGUGGGUGGAUUUCCAGAUAGGAAAAGAAUGGGAAAAGCCAGCAGGCUCCUCAUCUCUGAGAAGAAAGCCUUUGACAGUGACACCCAAGAUGUGUCACAGCAUCUAGCUGUCUCUCUGGGGAAGUUGGGGUGUUCAGCCCUGGCCUAACCUGUAAGAUUCUUUCCCCACCAAAAGGAGCAAAAUCCGAAUGCCUUGCUCCUUGCCACUGGAUAGGAGAGCCAGAAGUCACAGCAAAAUCAUGGCACUACAAGGCCGUGAAAUAACUGGAGAUACUGUUCUUGAGAAAGAGUCUGGAGACAGACACACACACGGAGGAUGCCACGUGGGGAGGCAGAGAUUGGAGUGAUGCUUCUAUAAGUCCAGGAAUGUCAAAGAUGGCCAGCAAACCACCAGAAGAACCUCACAAAGAACCGAUGCCGCUGACACCUUGACCUCAGACUUCCAGCCUGCAGAGCUGUGAGACGACGCCUUUUGUUGCCUAAGCCACUCAGUUGUGGAGCUUUGUUAUGGCACCCCUCACAAUCUUCUCCACCCCACCCCACCCCUACAGAGGAGACAACGGGGUUAAGGGAGCUUUGCUUCUCCAGGACCCCUGCCCCCGGGCGCUCUCCCCCUGCACCCUCUCGGCUCCCAAAGUGCCCUGGAAGAGCAAAUUCUUCUCCACAUUCGUUACAGAGCAGCUUCUCACAGCCUCUGAGGACUUGGCACCUGAUGCCACCUAGCUCCUUGGGAAAGUCUCCUUCUUCCCAAACUCUUU
rnacentral:lncRNA from 1 species